rnacentral:rRNA from 1 species
UACAUAGGGUGCAAGCGUUGUUCGGAAUUACUGGGCGUAAAGCGCGUGUAGGCGGCUUGGCAAGUCCUGUGUGAAAGCCCUGGGCUCAACCAAGGAAGUGCAUCCGAAACUGCAGAGCUUGAGUACCAAAGAGGAUCGCGGAAUUCCCGGUGUAGAGGUGAAAUUCGUAGAUAUCGGGAGGAACACCAGUGGCGAAGGCGGCGAUCUGGGUGGAUACUGACGCUGAGGUGCGAAAGCGUGGGGAGCAAACAGG